GCCUGAAUAGCUCAGUUGGUAGAGCAUGAGACUUUUAAUCUCAGGAUUGUGGGUUUGAGCCUCAUGCUGGGCA